rnacentral:rRNA from 1 species
CAAGUCACGGGGGCCCGCAAGGGUAACCGGCGAACGGGUGCGUAACACGUGAGCAAUCUGCCGUACACUGGGGGAUAGCCGGCCCAACGGCCGGGUAAUACCGCAUACGCUCCUUUGGCGGCAUCGCUGAGGGAGGAAACCUCCGGGGGUGUACGAGGAGCUCGCGGCCUAUCAGGUAGUUGGUGGGGUCACGGCCUACCAAGCCAUUGACGGGUAGCUGGUCUGAGAGGAUGGCCAGCCACAUUGGGACUGAGAUACGGCCCAGACUCCUACGGGAGGCAGCAGUGGGGAAUAUUGCGCAAUGGCCGCAAGGCUGACGCAGCGACGCCGCGUGGGGGAUGAAGCAUUUCGGUGUGUAAACCCCUGUUGCUCGGGACGAACAGCUCUUUUCGAGGAGCCUGACGGUACCGGGUGAGGAAGCACCGGCUAACUCCGUGCCAGCAGCCGCGGUAAUACGGAGGGUGCGAGCGUUGUCCGGAAUCACUGGGCGUAAAGGGCGCGUAGGUGGUCUGCUAAGCGUGCGGUGAAAGCCCGGGGCUCAACCCCGGGUCGGCCGUGCGAACUGGUGGACUGGAGCACUGUAGAGGCAGGUGGAAUUCCGGGUGUAGCGGUGGAAUGCGUAGAGGUCCGGAAGAACACCGGUGGCGAAGGCGGCCUGCUGGGCAGUUGCUGACACUGAGGCGCGACAGCGUGGGGAGCAAACAGGAUUAGAUACCCUGGUAGUCCACGCCGUAAACGAUGGGGACUAGGUGCUUGGGGGAGCGACCCCUCGAGUGCCGGCGCUAACGCAUUAAGUCCCCCGCCUGGGGAGUACGGCCGCAAGGCUGAAACUCAAAGGAAUUGACGG